UGAGAGAAGCGACAGGAGUUCACUCACGGUACAGGGAGGCCCAAACCGGAAAUGCCAAAUUUUGAGUCCACAGUGAAAUAGGAAAUGUCAAAUGCUGAACACUUCCUGGAGCGAGAGCUGAAGAGAGUAACCUGUUCUUCAUUAUGUUGCUUUUGCUGUGGCAUGUUUAUCCUCUGUCAGGUUUUUGUG